rnacentral:lncRNA from 1 species
GAAGAUUGUCUAAGAGCAAAAUUUAGCUUUCUAAAAACCAAAAUUAAAAUUAUUCCUUUUCCAAUAAAUUUUUCUUUCAAAUUUACUUUUUUGACUCUAAUAUUGUCCCUCCAAUUUGACUCUAUAAUUUGGCAAACUUUCUUUUACAAAAUUGAGUUCCAUGUCUUGAUCCUUGAUUGUCCUUAGAUAAUUAAAAUAUAGUAAUUCAAAGAGUUUUAUAAUCCUAACUUUGAAUGGCAUCUUCUUCUAAAGUUUGAGCCUUUAGACUACCUCAAACUCCCUAAUCUCAUCUUCCAAAGUCAUGCCUUCACUUGGCCAC